UACGGGGGGGGCAAGCGUUGUUCGGAAUUACUGGGCGUAAAGGGCGCGUAGGCGGCCAACUAAGUCAGACGUGAAAUCCCUCGGCUUAACCGGGGAACUGCGUCUGAUACUGGAUGGCUUGAGGUUGGGAGAGGGAUGCGGAAUUCCAGGUGUAGCGGUGAAAUGCGUAGAUAUCUGGAGGAACACCGGUGGCGAAGGCGGCAUCCUGGACCAAUUCUGACGCUGAGGAGCGAAAGCCAGGGGAGCAAACGGG
rnacentral:rRNA from 1 species